GACGAACGCUGGCGGCGUGCCUAAUACAUGCAAGUAGAACGCUGAAGGAGGAGCUUGCUCUUCUGGAUGAGUUGCGAACGGGUGAGUAACGCGUAGGUAACCUGCCUGGUAGCGGGGGAUAACUAUUGGAAACGAUAGCUAAUACCGCAUAACAGUAGAUGUUGCAUGACAUUUACUUAAAAGGUGCAAUUGCAUCACUACCAGAUGGACCUGCGUUGUAUUAGCUAGUUGGUGGGGUAACGGCUCACCAAGGCGACGAUACAUAGCCGACCUGAGAGGGGGAUCGGCCACACUGAGACUGAGACACGGCCCAGACUCCUACGGGAGGCAGCAGUAGGGAAUCUUCGGCAAUGGACGGAAGUCUGACCGAGCAACGCCGCGUGAGUGAAGAAGGUUUUCGGAUCGUAAAGCUCUGUUGUAAGAGAAGAACGAGUGUGAGAGUGGAAAGUUCACACUGUGACGGUAUCUUACCAGAAAGGGACGGCUAACUACGUG
rnacentral:rRNA from 1 species